rnacentral:rRNA from 1 species
CACGUAGGGUGCGAGCGUUGUCCGGAAUUAUUGGGCGUAAAGAGCUCGUAGGCGGUGUGUCGCGUCGGCCGUGAAAACCUGCAGCUUAACUGUGGGCUUGCGGUCGAUACGGGCAUCACUGGAGUUCGGCAGGGGAGACUGGAAUUCCUGGUGUAGCGGUGAAAUGCGUAGAUAUCAGUAGGAACACCAAUGGCGAAGGCAGCUUGCUGGGCCGACCCUGACGCUAAGGCACGAAAGCGUGGGGAGCGAACAGG